rnacentral:lncRNA from 1 species
AUUAAUUAUAUUUUAAAGAAUGUAAUUUUUCACACUAUAAAAUUAUUAUACAAAUGUUUACUUUAAAAUGCAAAUGAGAGAACAUAUGGCAAAUAUUGUUAAAUUUGUUUAUCUCAUAAUUGUUUUUCUUUCCAUAUUCGUUGUUGUAACUGAUGGUAAGUUUAAUUUUGUAAUUUAUUUUUAAAAUGUAUUCUUAAUUUUAUAUAUAAUGUUGUAUUUAUUAUUAUCAAUUUUUUUUUACAUCACAGGAGUUACCAAAUGUCGAUCUAAUAAAGAUUGUCGUAAACAAAUGUCUACUUGCUUGCAACCUAGAGUUCCAAGGUGUAUCCAAGAUGCAUGUGAAUGUUGGUAAUUAUAGGAAUGAAGUUCAAAAAUAAUUCCAUGUAUUUACAACUAUAAUGUUGGGACUUAUAAUUUUCUAAAACUUCAACCUAUUUUCUAUGAACCUUCAAAUCAAUUUGGUCCACUCAAAUUAUUGUAUUAUGCUAGUGUUGUUACAUUAUCCAAUUUAUUAUUUAGAAAAGAAUAAUAAAUAGUAAAAUAAAAAACCUCUAGAUUCUUUUAUUUUCUUUAAAUAAGUUAUUGUGAAUGAAUACAUUAUUAUACCUAUUUAUACAAAAAAAAAGCAUAUUAACCUUUUGCACUAAUAUAAAAAUGAGUUUUUACUUCGAUUGAAAUAGGGUUUUUGGUGGAUGAUGUAACGUAGGGUGUUAUGAAAUGUACACUUCUUUUUUCUCCC